rnacentral:tRNA from 1 species
AAUUUAUUAGUUAAUUAUAAUAUUAUAUUUUCAGUAUAAAGUUAAAUAAAUUUUGUUUAUAAAUUA